AUAUUCUUUUGUCUCAAUCAGAUCCUCCAUAUAAUGUAAGCGUGGUCACUAAACCCUCAGUGAAGGAGAAUGACUCUGUGGAACUGUCCUGCUCCAGUGACAGCAAUCCUCCUGCGAACAGCUACCAGUGGUUCAGCUUGAAUGGGACGAUGUUAGCAAAGAGCCCUACUUACAAACUGGAGAGAGUGUCUCGACAUACUGAGGCCAUUUCCUGUACAGCCUUUAACACAGAGGGAAAAAAACAAUUCUGGUCCUCGGAAACUUAAUAUAUUGUAUCCUCCUGAGAUUAAAAGUGAAUCUUCUUGCCAGUCUAAGAUUUUGACGGUUUGUGUCUGUAUUGUGGACUCCAACCCUCCCAGUGAAGUCAAGUGGUUUGGUCCAGAUUCCUCGAAAGCCUUCUCCAGCACCAGCAUUAAACAAAACAAGUCUCUUACCAUAUUCACCUUACAGGGUUGGCUGGGUUUCCCUGAGACUAUCCUGUGCUUUGCCAAUAACAGUCUGGGAAGCUCUUCCUUAACUUUGGAAGCUCCUCAAAAUGGCUUAAUAUACAUUGUUGUUGCAUCAGCAUUUGCAGUUGUGUUAGUCUGUAUUCUUAUGUGUGUUGUGAGAAGACACUGUAGGAACAGAGCUGUGCAACAAACUGUAAUGAAGAAUGAACAGACUCAAAUGAAGACAACCCAACACAAGUUGGAUUUAGAAAAUAAAGAAGAAGAGCGCAGUGAUGGAGGCAUUUACACAAACUGCCCAGACAGUCAUGUUUAUGACAACUCGGUGGGUGAUAAGAGACUAUUGUCAUCUGACAGAGCCUUGGAAGAUGAAGCGGUCUACGCUAACACAUGAAGAAAAGGGCACGUGACAUCCUGCUAGAAAUUAUAAAUUCAGAGAAGGAACAAAGAGGAAAACAAAUGUUUGACUAAUUUAGAUCUUAUUAUUCACUGAAGAUGUUCAGAGGCAAAAAAUGUCUUGCAACUGAAAACAAAAGUACUGUGUAUGAAUAUCAACUCUUUUUACAUUUAAUGUAUAAAGACAAAGUGUGUUUAUAUAUUAUGUAUAGAAUAAUUGAGUUUAAUUAUCAUUCUAAGUCAUAAAAUAGAAAAGAUCUAAGUAUCAUGGUGAAAUAUGUUGUAAAUAUGACCAGAGGUGGAUUUACUAACUGUUCGCGCACGCUCUCUCUCUCUCUCUCUCUCUCUCUCUCUCUCUCUCUCUCUCUCUCUCUUAUUGUUGUUGUUCUAAAGACAUAUAGUAUUACUUUGAUUUUUGCAUAACAAAAAACUAAAUAAAUACAUAUAUAAUGUGUCCUUUUAAUGGCAGUAAAUUGUGGCAAAUGACAAUCUUUUAAAUUAAUGAUUCAGCCACGUCAUUCCAUGUGUUUUGAGGGCAUGUGGUAGGGUUUGCCAUGAAACAAUCUGCAAAUGAAAUCCAUUAUUUUAUGAACAUUUUCUGCCAGUGCAUUCCUGUAGACUACCUUCAUGCAAGUGCGCUGUUGUGACUAUAAUGGGUAGAGUUACGGCUACAAACCUAUUAGAUUGUGUCUUAUUACACAUAACCCAACCCUAGCCUUACGAUAAUGCAAAUACAGUAAAUAACUGUUGUUCGUAAUGACAAACAUUACGCAGUAUUGAUGUGUGCGUGCCUUGGUCGUAGCUGUAUGCAGUUAGUGUCAAAGCAAAUCAUUUUGAGAAAUCAACACAGGCCCUAUAAACCUUCAAAGUAUGUGUAUAUACUCAAUUAAACACCAGUCUGACCAAUGAAAAAACUGGGUGUGCUUCUGAUAUGUGACUUUGACAUACCAUAUCUUUACACCAUCAUCUGCAAGUUACGGGAGUGAAGCCUGCAUUAUUUAUAUUCGCUUGUUAAGUCUGACAUCACAUAGCAGCGCUUCCGUGUCCAAAGGCUGUAUCAGUUACCACGAGAAAACAACAAAAGGUGUUAAUAUAAACUCACAAUGUGAUAGAAUACUAGCGAAAAAGUUAUAAUCUUAACCUUUAACUCCAUACCGAAGUCCCAGAUAGGCAGACAAUGAAAAUAUAAAUAUAAAAAAAUAUAUAUAAACAUUAUUUGUGUUUGGGACGCUGUGAGCACGGAGACUGUAGUGUAUACCGUAAGUUUGAAAGCAUUUAGCUUAAAUGAUUAAUAUGAAUAAACAGUGCUCAUAAACGGCUGCUGAGGUCGUAUUCUCAAGUGAAGCGAGUUGAGGCUUGGACCCAGAAACAGCGCUUCUUACGUCAUCACUUAACAACCGAAUACAGAUGUUCAUUAUAAUCAAUCAAGCUCUUUACACUAAACAGCCAACCAAUAAUGUGCAUUGUAUCUACACUUUGUUUGUUACUGUAAGAGAAUUCUUUACUCAGCAUUGAGCAAAAACUGUUUCGAUGCAUAGUGGGUUCUAACUAAAACACCUCUGAUUCGACAUUGCAUUUAAUAAAUUAACAGAUAUGUCUGUGAUUGGCUACAUUGCUCGACACUGCAAAAACAUAUUAAAAAGACAGCAAUGAACAUCUCCAGAAUGCAAACGCAAACAUAAAUUAAUUGUUUCACCAAUGAGAUGUGACCCGCUGGUUCUUCAAGGCCCUACAUGGCUUACCUCCUUCGAUGAAUAUGAAUUUAAUGAUAAAAAUGGCACAAUAAUAACUGGAGAACAAGUUAAUACUCCAUAUUUAAAGAAGUGUUUGAAAGAAUAUGCCCGGCGUAACUCAAUACGAUUUAUAAAAAUGAGGGUUUUAAGCAAGUAAUAAAGCACUAAAUUUUCCCAGUUUAUCUCAAUUGAGGUUAAUAGAUGCCAUUGAAAUGGUUGGAUAAGACAUUUUCUGAAAACUCUUCAAAUGCAAUCACAUUAGUCAGUCAAAACAGAGCUUAUUGAAUCAAUGACAGUUCAAAUACCUGCUAUCAAUGGUUGUGAGUAUAAUGCUUCAUCACUGACCAACUGAUUGAUCAGAGGAUCCAUUGUGCUCUGUAAUCCUAUUUAAUUUACUCAAUCCAGUCACAUAACAGAAACCGCUCACACAAAGCUGUUCACAACACUCAAUCAGAGCUGAAGUUCAGUAUGGGGUACUCAGCACUAUUUAAAUCCCAAAAACAACUGCAAACCAACUGAGACAUUGAUUCGUAAUCAUCUCAGGUAAAAGCAUCACAUUCCACAAUAUAUCAUGGGCAAUGGAACAUCUAGGCAUCUGAUGACCCAGGACUCUAGAAAAAAUAUUAGGAGAAAUGAAAAACUCACUGAGGAUGACCCAAAGGACAAAGUUCCUUUUGCAGACACCUUAUGGAAAGACAAACCUUCAAAAGUACUGUCCAGGAAAGACUACAGAAUGGCAAAACUAAAUCUUGCACGAGGCAAUCGCAUCCGUUACUGGCAUCUAUCAUCAGCACUGGAGUCUAAGCAGGAGCAAAUUUCAGUGCAUAACUGGGAAAUGUACAAUCCUGCCUUUGUACAGGAGGAAAAUCCACAAAGUUGGCAGACCAGUUAAUAUACGGACACCUAUUGUCAGGACUAAUGUCAGGACCUCUUAAAAACCUCUUGAAAGAAUGAGGUGGAUUUGAUUUGUAAAAGUGUGUUUUGGAAAUAUUCAGAAAACGGUUCCAUUCAAAUAUUUAAAUAAUAUUUGAGUUGCUCCUGCUUGUCUUUAAAAAGGUUCCUCCCUUCAUUCAUUGUCAGUGGAUGCCAUGGAUUUUGAUAAAUGAUCAAUUGUACCCUAUUUCUGAAAACAUGUCCAAAUCAGCAUUUCAAAGAUGAAUUUGCUAUAUAUGAAUGAUAGCCAUAUUCGGAUAAAUAAUCUCCAACACUUAUUGUGAUUUAGAAUUGAUCAAAUUCUCAAAGAAGAGUUAUGAUUUUGGUGGAUUUAUAAAUAAAAAUUACAACUUAA